rnacentral:rRNA from 1 species
CCUACGGGGGACAGCAGUGGGGAAUAUUGCACAAUGGGGGAAACCCUGAUGCAGCGACGCCGCGUGAGCGAAGAAGCAAUCCGUUAUGUAAAGCUCUAUCAGCAGGGAAGAAAAUGACGGUACCUGAGUAAGAAGCCCCGGCUAACUACGUGCCAGCAGCCGCGGUAAUACGUAGGGGGCAAGCGUUAUCCGGAUUUACUGGGUGUAAAGGGAGCGUAGACGGCAGGGCAAGUCUGGAGUGAAAGGCGGGGGCUCAACCCCCGGACGGCUCUGGAAACUGUACGGCUGGAGUGCGGGAGAGGUAAGGGGAAUUCCUAGUGUAGCGGUGAAAUGCGUAGAUAUUAGGAGGAACACCAGUGGCGAAGGCGGCUUACUGGACUGUAACUGACGUUGAGGCUCGAAAGCGUGGGGAGCAAACGGGAUUAGAUACCCUAGUAGUC